AGCCAGACCAAAACAGUAUUGAUCCCACUGGACUGUCACCUCAACCUCAGUGUUGGCAUCAUUACUCCCUGUAAGCAUGUGGUUGUCACUAGUUAUGUCUGUGAUGUCAUAAUGAGGCACUUGCAUGACCAUCAAGGAGGGUAUUUCUGACUUAAUGACUCCAAUGACCAGGCAAUCCCAUGGAGAUCUAUGGCCUGCAAGGAGUAAUGGUUAUGACAUGGAGAUGAACUUUUUGGGCAAGGUCGUGGAACGUGUGGUGGCCGCACAACUCCAGGCAUUCUUGCACAGAGAAAACGAGAUGGUGUGGAGACCAUUUGGACAGGAAUUUGGCUGAAUCAGACCCGGUCCAGCUGUCCAUACUGCAGGAAAGCCCCAGAAUGCUUUGGUGUUUCCAGCAAAGUCCAAAGAUAUCCCAAAGGGGCAAAGUCACAUUAAAGCAAGUAUAUCUACAUUCCUCAGUGGAACUCACUGUACUUCAUGGGGACAGCCAGUGCUGGAUUCAAGUAAUGGAAUUCCAGCACCGUGUCUGAAGGUGGUGGUGGUGGAAGCAGG